GAGUUUGAUCCUGGCUCAGGAUGAACGCUGGCGGCAUGCCUAAGACAUGCAAGUCGAACGAGGUGGCCCAAAGAAGAUUGAGUGCUUGCACAAGAUUGGACUUGGAUUACCACCUAGUGGCGGACGGGUGAGUAACACGUAGGUGACCUGCCUUUGAGUUUGGGAUAACUAUUAGAAAUGAUAGCUAAUACCGAAUUAAAUGCAGAUUCGUUUCUGUAUUAAAAGGAGCCUUUAAAGCUUCGCUUAAAGAUGGGCCUGCGGCGUAUUAGCUAGUUGGUGAGGUAAUGGCUUACCAAGGCGACGAUGCGUAGCCGAACUGAGAGGUUGAUCGGCCACAUUGGGACUGAGACACGGCCCAAACUCCUACGGGAGACAGCAGUUAGGAAUAUUCGUCAAUGGGGGAAACCCUGAACGAGCAAUGCCGCGUGAACGAUGAAGACCCUAUGGGUUGUAAAGUUCUGUUGCAUGGGACGAACGAUUAGGAUAGGAAAUGAUCUUAAUGUGACGGUACCAUGCCAGAAAGCUCCGGCUAACUACGUGCCAGCAGCCGCGGUAAUUC
rnacentral:rRNA from 1 species